rnacentral:rRNA from 1 species
UAGUAACGGCGAGUGAAGCGGCAACAGCUCAAAUUUGAAAUCUGGCGCAAGCCCGAGUUGUAAUUUGUAGAGGAUGCUUCUGGGUAGCGGCCGGUCUAAGUUCCUUGGAACAGGACGUCAUAGAGGGUGAGAAUCCCGUAUGUGACUGGCUUGCACCCUCCACGUAGCUCCUUCGACGAGUCGAGUUGUUUGGGAAUGCAGCUCUAAAUGGGAGGUAAAUUUCUUCUAAAGCUAAAUACCGGCCAGAGACCGAUAGCGCACAAGUAGAGUGAUCGAAAGAUGAAAAGCACUUUGGAAAGAGAGUUAAAAAGCACGUGAAAUUGUUGAAAGGGAAGCGCCCGCAACCAGACUUUGCGGCAGUGUUCGGCCGGUCUUCUGACCGGUUUACUCGCUGCCGUGAGGCCAUCAUCGUCUGGGACCGCUAGAUAAGACCUUAGGAAUGUGGCUCCCUUCGGGGAGUGUUAUAGCCUCUGGUGAUGUAGCGCGUCUCGGGCGAGGUCCGCGCUUCGGCAAGGAUGAUGGCGUAAUGGUUGUCGGCGGCCCGUCUUGAAACACGGACCAAGGAGUCUAACAUCUAUGCGAGUGUUCGGGUGUCAAACCCCUACGCGUAAUGAAAGUGAACGGAGGUGGGAACUUUUUGUGCACCAUCGACCGAUCCUGAUGUCCUCGGAUGGAUUUGAGUAAGAGCAUAGCUGUUGGGACCCGAAAGAUGGUGAACUAUGCCUGAAUAGGGUGAAGCCAGAGGAAACUCUGGUGGAGGCUCGCAGCGGUUCUGACGUGCAAAUCGAUCGUC